rnacentral:rRNA from 1 species
CGGACCCCACUGCUAUCGGGAUGGGACUAAGACAUGCUAGUCGAGCGUCUCCAAGCUAUGGAAGAGACGCGGCAGACAGCUCAGUAACACGUGGCUAACCUGCCCUUGGGACAAGGACAACCCCGGGAAACUGGGGCUAAUCUCUGAUAAGUGAGAACUCCUGGAAUGGAUUCUCGCUGAAAGGACGUUUAGACCAUGCUUCUAGGCGUCGCCCAAGGAGGGGGCCGCGACCGAUCAGGUUGUUGGUGAGGUAACGGCUCACCAAGCCUUUAACCGGUACGGGCCGUGAGAGCGGGAGCCCGGAGAUGGGCACUGAGACAAGGGCCCAGGCCCUACGGGGCGCAGCAGUCGCGAAAACUCCGCAAUACACGAAAGUGUGACGGGGCCAUCCCGAGUGCCAUCCGCUGAGGAUGGCUUUUCCCCAGUGUAUAAAGCUGGGGGAAUAAGGAGAGGGCAAGCCUGGUGUCAGCCGCCGCGGUAAUACCAGCUCUCCGAGUGGUGGGGAUGCUUAUUGGGCCUAAAGCAUUCGUAGCCUGCUUGGCAAGUCCUCCGUUAAAUCCAACGAUUCAAUCGUUGGGCUGCGGGGGAUACUGUCCGGCUAGGGGGCGGGAGAGGCCGACGGUAUCCUCGGGGUAGGGGUGAAAUCCUAUAAUCCCGGGAGGACCACCAGUGGCGAAGGCUGUCGGCUAGAACGCGCCCGGCGGUGAGGGAUGAAAGCUGGGGUAGCGAACCGGAUUAGAUACCCGGGUAGUCCCAGCUGUAAACGAUGCAGGCUAGGUGUUGGCGCGGCUACGUGCCGCUCCAGUGCCGCAGGGAAGCCGUUAAGCCUGCCGCCUGGGAAGUACGGCCGCAAGGCUGAAACUUAAAGGAAUUGGCGGGGGAGCACCACAAGGUGUGAAGCUUGCGGUUUAAUUGGAGUCAACGCCGGAAAUCUCACCGGGGGCGACAGCAGAAUGAAGGUCAGAUUAAAGAUCUUACUAGACAAGCUGAGAGGAGGCGCAUGGCCGUCGCCAGUUCGUGCCGUGAGGUGUCCUGUUAAGUCAGGCAACGAUCGAGACCCACGUCCUUUGUUGCUAUCAACACUCCGGAAGGAGGUUGAGCACACUAAGGAGACUGCCGCCGAUAAGGCGGAGGAGGGAGUGGGCAACGGCAGGUCAGUAUGCCCCGAAUCCUCCGGGCCACACGCGAGCUGCAAUGGCAGGGACAAUGAGUUCCAACUCCGAAGGAGAAGGUAUCUUUAAACCCUGUCUCAGUUGGGAUCGAGGCUGUA